GACGAACGCUGGCGGCGUGCCUAAUACAUGCAAGUAGAACGCUGAAGAGAGGAGCUUGCUCUUCUUGGAUGAGUUGCGAACGGGUGAGUAACGCGUAGGUAACCUGCCUUGUAGCGGGGGAUAACUAUUGGAAACGAUAGCUAAUACCGCAUAACAAUGGAUGACACAUGUCAUUUAUUUGAAAGGGGCAGUUGCUCCACUACAAGAUGGACCUGCGUUGUAUUAGCUAGUAGGUGAGGUAAUGGCUCACCUAGGCGACGAUACAUAGCCGACCUGAGAGGGUGAUCGGCCACACUGGGACUGAGACACGGCCCAGACUCCUACGGGAGGCAGCAGUAGGGAAUCUUCGGCAAUGGGGGCAACCCUGACCGAGCAACGCCGCGUGAGUGAAGAAGGUUGUCGGGUCGUAAAGCUCUGUUGUAAGUCAAGAACGGGUGUGAGAGUGGAAAGUUCACACUGUGACGGUAGCUGACCAGAAAGGGACGGCUAACUACGUG
rnacentral:rRNA from 1 species